AUUUUCCUUUUUUUUGUUAUAUAUUCUUUUGGAUUUUGGAAGUCAAGAUUCAACUUUUGAUUUCAUUUCCUGCUUAUAUUCUGGGAUUUGUUUUCCAUAGUUUGGUUGAUUUUAGUAAUUGAAUAUGGGUUCUUGAGUUGAAAGUUAUUGAGAUCUGAGAAUUGGGAAAGCUCAGUGAUUUGGAUAGGUGUCAAUUGCCAGUGUGAAACUUAAGUUUGCUUGCUGUAGCUAUUCAUGUUCUUGGUGCUUUGCUUAAUUAGAGUACAGCAUGUAUUGAGUGAAGCUCUUAUUUGGCUAAGUGCUCCUUUGUCGUUGGAUUUCUUGGAUGUAUUACAUUCUUAGUUAUACUUUUAUUCACUAUUCUUUUCUGUCUUUUUCUUGGAAUUCUUGGAAUGCAGCAAGCAGAUAUUUAAAUAUGGUUUAAAACAACUGAUUCUAAAUUCUGUUUGGUCUCCUAGGCUUUUCAUUUUAGCAAUGAAACUCUUGCUUUGAAUUGAUUAUGAUGCUGUACCUCUUCUGUCCUUGAAAAUUUUGAACUGUUUUUAAUGGAUUUUUUUUUUGUGCAAAUCAUAUUGU
rnacentral:misc_RNA from 1 species